AAGUCAAAUUGCAGUGAAGGAGGUGCAACAAUAAUGGAUUUAUUUUAUAUUCUUUCUUUUCAUUUUAGAUAGUGCCAAAAUGCAGGAAGCAAUUUCCUUUAAGUAAUUUGGAAAGCAAACCAAACAAGGCGCUGAUUUGCAGGUAAGUUUUUUGUAUAUUAUAUUUCUCUCAACAAAAUAAUAUCAAUGUUUUUAACUACAGAUACUGCCCAUUGUUUUUAUAUGUACUUCUCAACUGCAAUAGCUGCCGCAGGUGUUGACGGCGGAGGUGUCACCAUCAAAACCAUUAGAAACAACACGACCAAGUCAAUGAUGCAAGUGGAAGUUUUGCCAUGUAAUAGUCGACCGCUGACGCCCUUCUCCAUCAAUUGUGUAAGUGUAAAGAGUACUACCAGUCUGCAGUUCUGCAAGAGACGCAAACAAAACAAGAAUACAAUCGCAGGAAGACUCCAAAAAAUGUCCAACCCUGACUGUAAGUGAGUUCAAAUUUUAAAUCUACAACGAAUCCAUUCUUUUUGCUCCUAAGGAUCGCACUGGCUUAACGGUGUCAAUCAUUCGGAGGCAAAUGAGCUGGCCCGACAAGAAUCCCCCAAGAAGCCAAACAGAUUCAGAUCAGUCUCUCGGCAGCUACUGACAAUGUCGGCGAAUUAAAUCCAUCGAUUUUCACACAGAAAAUUAACAUCAAAAAAAUCACGACAAUUCAGCAGCGUCAUGGUCAACCUGCCGAUCAACCAUUCACAGUGAACAACCUCUAUUCGUAGCAGAAGCGAUCUCUGCGUUGUCGACAAUGCGAACACAAUGUCAUCAAGCCGGAGUACCAUCCAGGAUCGAUCAAGUAUCGCAUUCAAUUGUUUGCUAACUACCAUGUGCCAGACGUUCUGCUUGUGCGUUGUGAAAAGCCACUGAAGCCUGGCACGUCCACUGAAUUGAUCCUCAAGCUAACUAACCCAACGAUGUACCAUAUGACCACAACCAUUAUGAAACUGCUAACCAAGGAAGAAGAACGGCGAAUGAUCGACUUCGAAUAAAAGUUCAACGAAAGGAACCAAAAUUCACCACUUGGAGAAAGUCCAAUAACGUAACAAUUAAAUUGAACUUCACACCUGAAGAAGGAUUGAAACCAGGCGAUGAUGUUACCCUUAGUUUCUUGAUGAAAUAUACUUUUGUGAAUACAUACACACGCCCGAAAAGAAAGAACGUCAAAAACACGCAUUAUCAUCGAAAGUUUUUGUAAAAGUUGGUCAAAUUGAAGCCUAGAU